rnacentral:rRNA from 1 species
UAGGGAAUCUUCCACAAUGGGCGNAGCCUGAUGGAGCAACACCGCGUGAGUGAAGAAGGGUUUCGGCUCGUAAAGCUCUGUUGUUAAAGAAGAACACGUAUGAGAGUAACUGUUCAUACGUUGACGGUAUUUAACCAGAAAGUCACGGCUAACUACGUGCCAG